rnacentral:rRNA from 1 species
GAUCCGCGAUUACUAGCGAUUCCAGCUUCACGCAGUCGAGUUGCAGACUGCGAUCCGAACUGAGAACAGAUUUGUGGGAUUGGCUUAACCUCGCGGUUUCGCUGCCCUUUGUUCUGUCCAUUGUAGCACGUGUGUAGCCCAGGUCAUAAGGGGCAUGAUGAUUUGACGUCAUCCCCACCUUCCUCCGGUUUGUCACCGGCAGUCACCUUAGAGUGCCCAACUGAAUGCUGGCAACUAAGAUCAAGGGUUGCGCUCGUUGCGGGACUUAACCCAACAUCUCACGACACGAGCUGACGACAACCAUGCACCACCUGUCACUCUGCCCCCGAAGGGGACGUCCUAUCUCUAGGAUUGUCAGAGGAUGUCAAGACCUGGUAAGGUUCUUCGCGUUGCUUCGAAUUAAACCACAUGCUCCACCGCUUGUGCGGGCCCCCGUCAAUUCCUUUGAGUUUCAGUCUUGCGACCGUACUCCCCAGGCGGAGUGCUUAAUGCGUUAGCUGCAGCACUAAGGGGCGGAAACCCCCUAACACUUAGCACUCAUCGUUUACGGCGUGGACUACCAGGGUAUCUAAUCCUGUUCGCUCCCCACGCUUUCGCUCCUCAGCGUCAGUUACAGACCAGAGAGUCGCCUUCGCCACUGGUGUUCCUCCACAUCUCUACGCAUUUCACCGCUACACGUGGAAUUCCACUCUCCUCUUCUGCACUCAAGUUCCCCAGUUUCCAAUGACCCUCCCCGGUUGAGCCGGGGGCUUUCACAUCAGACUUAAGAAACCGCCUGCGAGCCCUUUACGCCCAAUAAUU